rnacentral:snRNA from 1 species
GUGCUCACUUUGGUCAGCACAUAUACUUAAAUUGGAAUGAUACAAAGAAAGAUUAGCAUGGCCCCUGCUCAAGGAUGACAUGCAAAUUGGUGAAGCAUUUCAUGUUUUU